rnacentral:lncRNA from 1 species
ACUGGUCUUCACUAACCGCAGAGCUGAGGCCAGUGCAGGCUCCUCUGCCUCCUACCGCCCAGGGCAAGCUUAGGAGGUGUCCUAAACCUGCCUAAAUUGCCAGGGCAACUGUGAGGCAAUGCACAGAAGCUCACUCGGCCACAGGGUGAUACAGUGGACCCACGCAGAGCCAAGGAAGCUGCACAGGGACAAGGGCUGAUGAUAUUGAAAGUUCAUAUGGAUCAGUGUGUUUCCCACCAGAACCAGAUGUGAAUACCCUUUCACUGAAAACUCCAUGUUCUUUGGCUUCAGGAAAGAGCAAAAUCAAGCAUAGUGCUGCAACUGAUCUGGACGCUUCCUUCCUGAUGGCUGGCUUUCCUGAUGCUGGAAUGUGCCUUGCAGGUUCUGGGAGAGAAAAAUCAUUACAGGCUUAAGUUCCUGUGCUACAUGACUGACCUGCUGAGCAAUAUGCUACUGGAGUGAUAGUUUUAUGACCGUUAAGGGAAUAGUCAGCUGCUUUUGACUGAAUUUGAGAGCUGGAUGUGAAGCCCCUGUUGGCUGAGAAUUCCACUGCUGUGGUUUUAGGGCAUAGAGAAAUCAAGGGGAAGCCAAGCUGGAAGCUUUCUCCCUCCUGGCUGAUCUGAUAGUGCCAGAGUAUGCUGUGAAUGAAGAUCCUGAGGGCAAAAAGUCACCGCCAAGCGUACUCAGUUCCAGGCCCUCUGCCACGAUAACUACCUGCUAGGCAUUAUACUUACCGUUGGAGUGAAGGGGUGAUUUCACUGUGAAAGGCUUCCUCCACAGACUGAGCAUCAUCAAUGACUGGGCAAAAUUCCACUGGGCUCUUCUAGACUUUUUCCAAGGACUAUUUCUGGAAACAAACUUCAACAUUCCCAGGUUUCAAGCUUUGAGUAUUUCUGCAUUGACAGUUGCAACCGAUUAAUUCCAUUGGAUGGUUUCUUGUUCUGAAGUUAAAAUUUCAAAGUAUCUGAUCCUGGCUUAAUGUCACUCAAGAACUUACAAAAGCAAAGUUAAAACCUGCCCUUCUAACAAACUGCUUAUUUAGGCUUUUGUGAAAUAUACUUUUAUUUAAUUCCAACGGAGCAAGCAUUUUCUGUUUACCUGACCCUAUUCCUUGAAUGGUCUCAUUUCUCUUAACCAGAAUCCUGUGAAGCAAAUAGUCCUGUUCUUACCACCUGGCAGAUAAGGAGUUAUGAGGAUCUCAGUUAAGUAACUUACCCAGUGUUGCACAGCUAGGGAGUAGCAAAGACAGGAUUGAAAGUCGGGUUCUCUGCUGCUGACUGUGCAUUCUUACACAAUAUAACCAGCUCUUAGUUCUUUUCCUACCUAGCAAUACUGUGACUAUGUGUGUGUUCCUUUUGUGUUGGCUAUUUUUAUGUCAACUUGACAUAAGCUAGAGUAAUUCGGAAGAUGGAACUUCAUUUGAGAAAAUACUUCCCAACAGAUUGUCCUGUGGGCAAGUCUAUUGUACAUUUGGUGCAUUUUCUUGAUUGAUAAUUGAUAUUGGAGGGCUUAGUGUAAAGGUUUCUCCAAAGCAAGGUCAUCUUGGCUAUUGCGAGCUAAGGAAUACCACAAGGUCACACCACCAGUUAACAAAGCACACAUAAGAAUUUCACUGGGGAGAACAGAAUGGCUGCAGUCUCUGUACGGGGAGAGACAGCAGAGGGCUGGACUGAAUGGAAGACUUUUAUAGGGUUUGUGGAGCACGCCAAGUGAGCCAAUAGGAAACAUUGGCCACUACAGGAUCAGGGAUUUCCAAGUCUCAGAGCUUUGGGUCAAACUAGAGGCAGAGUGUUUUCGCUUUGGCCUCUGUCUGGGGCUUGGGGUCAAGUCGGGGAUGAGGUGGUGGUCUCUUGGCCCAUGUGCUUAAGGUCAACUCAGGGUCAGAGUAUUUUUUCCUUGCCCUAGUCUCAGGGUCAAGUCAGGGUCAGGGGGGUCUUUCCUGGCCCAUUUACUCUACAUUCCUCUCUGUUUUGUUUAGGAGAGGGGUGAUGAUAUCACUAUGCAACUUCCUGCUGUCUGGGGCAUUGAAGUCCUUGAGACAAGCUUGAUCUUCAUAUCAGGGGUUGUAGGCCUCUGCUACUGUAGUUAGGGGCUGAUAAUCCUGUAAUAACAACUGAUUAAUAAAUAUCUAGUUAGAAAUCUUUUGGAUCUUCUGUUGAAAAACAUCUAGACAAGAAGUUUAUAGGGAAGAGUGUAACUAAUAGGAUGAGGGAAAGGAGAGGGGAGGUUAUGAAGGGCAACAGGACUGUCAAGGGCCCACUGGCCAGAGGCUUUGAGCUGUUCCUUGGGUAUUUCAGAGACCUGUUUGGAGUUGGCAGAUUUUGUCUUUUAUUAUAUCUGAUUGGUUGACAUAUUAGAUACAACAUUCCUCUUUGAGGAAGAGGCAAAGGCCACCCUUCUCUGCUGUUAGUAAAUCUAAUAAUCCUCAAAAUCCACUUGAUUUUGUCUUUCAAGUGGUUUGCACCGAAACAAGCAUUUUUCUUAAAGCCACACAAUAACCCCCUUGUAUUGGAUAGAGCAAUUUGAGUGUUCUGUCAUAUUGUAGAACUAUUUCAGCGGUUGAUAAAUUUGGGUCUACUUAAUUUUAACAGGUACCUUGUCUGGUGUUGUAAUAAGCAUUACAGGUAGCCAUUUUGUCCUUUUCGACUUAAAACUCCAGACUUUUGUAGAGGAUAAGCCGUGAUGUGCUCUCUUCUAUAACAACUUCCUGCUGAAAUUUCAUUGUGAGGGUCUAGGCAGACUGGAAUGCUAAUCAAAGGCCAGGAGGGAAUUUAAACACUGGUUUAUUCAUCAGAAACCAGAUCUGGUUCACGGACCCAGCUGAAGAGACAGGGAACAAUCACAUGAGCUGGACUGGCUCUCAUCAGCUUUCAACAAGUCCAGGGCUCACAGCCACUUGGAACGGUGCAUAGUGCACAGCUGAUUCCCAGAUGGUGCCUGUCAGCGGAGUGGAAAUCUGCUGAGACAGCUAAAGACUAGGGACAGAAGUUAAGGUUUAGGAACUUAAAGGAAAAUCAUAAAUUUGGAACUUUCAGGCAUACUGUCCUGAUAGUUGAGGGAGAGGAGGGUACCCAAGACCAAGGGAGAAAGAGAUGUUACCUUCAAGAAUAGUCAGGUAUGGAAAGUUAGCCUGUUCUUAUCUGGAGUCCAUUUGAACUGUGAGAGGUAGAUCAAAGUCUUAUGACUCCCUGAAACUUACAUGAACUUUUUUGUUUAAAAUAAGAGAUAGAGGUUUUAUAUAUAUUAGUAUUACCACUGUUUGUAAUCUGUACUGAAAUCCACACUGUAGGAAAAGCAGCUAAAGAGGGUUUAUCCAUAACAAAAGCUUUGGGUUAAAAAUCACUGGCAUUUUUCCACUGUCUCAGAGCCAUACAUACAGAUUGGUCAGAGAUGUUUUUAUUUUGGCACAAUGAGAAGCACCUUUAAUUGUAGAUACUUGAAGACAACCAAAGGAAAUUUGAAAUCUUAAGCUUGUCACUGAUAAUAGCUUUAUCAGCUUAUCAGAACGCCAUUGAUCAAUAUUAAAACUCUGAACCUUUAAAAUAUUGAAAGAAAUCUGAGACAUUUUUACUACUUUAGAUUACCUUCUUACACCUCUACAAAAUGCAUCUUUACAUUCCUUAAAAUACUAGUUUUCACAUCCUCAAACACUUUCUUAGAACUUACUUAAGCUUUCACAUUUCCCAUCUAACCAUUUAUCAGAGAGUUAUUAUUCUCGGGACUUAUUGCCAAGAGCAAUCACUGCAAAGCAAGUUCCUUUUAAUCCUUUUGUCUUCUUUUGCUCUCCUUUCUCUGACACAGUUAGUUGGCCCUCCUAACACAGAACAGAGAUGUUGGAGAAAACUUUUAAACAUACGUUCUUGGAUCUUAAUGAAGGGGAGUCGUAAUCCAAUCCCAGAGGCAGUUUUCCAGUAAAACAGAGCAGUAAAACACAACCUAAGUAUUAUCCACACUCAAAAGACAUCUGAGUCCCUGCUAAACUGAAUCCAGGAAUUCCAUAGAUGAAUUCUGAGCCCUGGCCAUCAAAGCAGCUCUGGCAAAUGGCUCUAGUAGUGGAGACUGGCAGCUGCAUAGAAAACAAAACCAAAACCAAUAAGCACAGAACACAUAAAGCUCACAGGCUCAAAACAGACCAGUCCUCUGAAAUAAACGUGCAGUGGCUACCAACGUUCAUGCUCAACUGAGUCUGACCUAUUUCCAUCCUGACCCCAUGUUUGCCACAAGACUUAUGGGCACAACAGAAAACAGACCUAUCUGCAUCCACAAAACAGACAGACAAAACUUUCUAAACAACCAGUACCAGAAAGUCACAUGAAGAGUUCACACCGAGUCUCAGAGGAGCCAAUGAACAAAAUCUGGGACUAUAAAGACCAUGAAGUCCUUUGAAGAGUGACUAAGCGCAUUGUACACCGAGAUGCACAGGAGCCUGUAGAAACUAAGACAUUUGGAGCAGCAGGAUGCCAUUGAGAAGAGGUUGGGAAUGUUAAAGCGGUGGGAAUGCUACGUCAAAAAGAGAACGUAGCAGAAGAAAUGAAGUCUGAAGCACAAGAAACAACUAAAACCAAAGAAAACCAACACUACAUUUAAACAAAAACUCAAUGCCAAGUGAAGAAAAAAAUGAAAAAGGAUAGAUAUGAAAGAAAUGGUACACUCUAAAAUAACCAGGAAAAAAUAUACAACAGGUAAAACCAGAAAAUGAAAACUAAAGUUCAGCUCAACCAAACAAAAAUGUUCAAAAAUCAAACCUAACUAAAUGCCAAAUUGUAGUAAAUUCCACAGAAUCCAGAGUAUUACUAGAGGCAAAGAAAUAUAUUACAAGGAAAAAAAGAGACUGAAAGAAAGUAAAAGAAAUACCAAAAUAUAACCUUUAAAAAUUUGAACAAAAGUCUCAAACAAAAAUGAAAAUUAGAAUGAAGAUAAUCUACAAAGACCAAAAUGUGAAAAGGAACCAGGAACCUAGUGAAUGAAAGACGAAUGAAGUAAACCAUAAAGUGGGGGAGAUUGCUCAGUCCACAAAGUUCCUCCAUCGCAAGUGUGAGGCCGGGAAGUACAGUGAAAGAACACCAAUCUCAGUGCAAGGUGAGCCAACAGGUGUGUAUUCCUGGGACUCAUCGGAUGGCUAGCCUAAUCUACUUAGAAACUAUAGGCCAGUAAGAGACUCUGCUUAAGCAAAGUGGCCAGCAGACCUGAAAUAAGUCAGGUGGCAUUGCACUCUUUGGCACCACCAGCAAGCUUCCAUUGAGUUCAAAUUGGAAGUUGCUUGAAGUUCAAAUGGUGACGGCUAUGAGUGAGCUAUGAGGUAAGGUUCUUUCUGUGCAUAAGAAAGAUGUACUGGGUAUUGGCAUCCUUGAAGGGCUUUCACUGUUUUUCUGAAACCUACAUGGCUACUGGAGGUCUGUCUUGCUCUUACUUAGGGCUCUCAAGAGAUGUAUGAAUGUCCUGCCUCAAAAGUUGCUAUCAUAUGUGAGACAAGAUGGUGGUGGCAGGAACAGGAUUUCCCUUAACUGGACUUUGGAGUGCAUGACAGUUCUGACAUUGCAGGUACCUCAUCCAAACACAGUCUUUGCCCUAGCUCUGGCUUCGCAGAGGCCCUGUUGUGUGUAAAGAGCUCUCUGAUGGCCUUACGGGAGACUUUGGGCAUUCGCCUUAGAGCAAAUGCUAUGAACAAGCUGCCCCUUCUUCCAUGGUUGCUAGUGAGUCAGAAGAGGCUACAAGUACACAUACCCAUGUCUAUUUAACUCUGUAGAGGGCACUUUGGAGAGGAAGCCAAGAUCUAGAAGGUGUUCCAAUGUAUCUUCUUUUGCCUACAGAGGGGUGGUCAUUAGCAUUGGCUCCCAAGACCAACCCUCAUAGAUUGUGAUCUCUUGGCCCAAGGAUCUUUUAAAAAGAAGCACCUAGUGUGUAUGUGUAUAUAUAUAUGUACUUUUUAAAAUUCUGCACAGGGAUCCAAUCUCUAUGACUGGAAAGUCUCCUCUUCUGUGAGCAGACCCCGGCCUGGGUCAAGAGUUAAUUGAGCUGGUUCUUGAAGCUUGAUAGAUGCUUGAAGAUUACUGUAGUGCAUAAGUCCUCCUGGGGACUUUAGGAAAGCUCCCAGACCAACAGAUGGGUUUGAGGGGUAGUAGAUCCUAGUGCUUAAGAGUAUCCUUACAGAUGUUCACUGGUUGUGCCAUAGAUCCUGCUCCCCUGAUGAUCUUUGGGACUAUGACCACUUUUGUUCUCAGAUAACCUCUGCCCUACCUUCAAUGGGUCUAGGCCUCUCUCAGUGAAGAUGUUCUCUGUAUAAAGACUACCUUAUGUUUUUUAUAAAGUUUACCUGGAAACUUAACAGGCCCCAUAAUUUAACAGUAUGCAUACAUGUAAUUUAAUCUAUUGAGUAUGUGCUUUGAAUUCAGCUUUCUCUUGUUAAGGUGCUAUUACACAGCACUAUAUUCUAAGCCAAACAACUGCCAAGGAUUGCUAUGCCAAAUUUCAAAGGAUCAUCACUGCUAGUCUUGUUGAUUAUUGGCUUGUUAAUGUUAUUAUGUCUCAGAAAAUGCCUGGAUAUUUUUCCAUGAUGGAAAAGAAAGUUGGAAAGCUUAAGCAAAUUAUACGGGUCUGAGCAAGUUAUAUAAGGUAUGUAAACAGUCAGAAUUCAAUACAUUGAUGUCAAAGCUCUGCUUAAAUAAAUGGCCUGUUCUCCCUAACAAUUACAAAGAUUGUUUGAGGAAAAAAAUGUUUAUUUAAUCAAAAUGUAUUUAAAUAUUUGGUUGUCAGUGGCAUCCUGGGUGUUCAAUAACCAUACUUGGAGACCAUACUAAUGUGGUCAGAGGGAUUAAAAAGGAGAAUAUAUUCCUCCUUGGCCCCCAAGAUCAAGUAGGUCGGACAAGCAUCUCACACAAAGUGCUUUUUAACUGUGAGGAAUCACCUUUUCUGUUGUUCAGGGAGGUCAUGGAGACGCCAACCAGUAUACUCAAACCACUGUCCAGUCUACAAAGAGGAGGGCCUAUAAAGGACCCUCCAUGGAUCUUGCUUCCAUGUUUCCAAGUAAAGCCAUAGCUAAGCAUAAAUUCUCCUCCCGUAGAAUGAGCAUACUUGGAAAAGGAAGGUUAGACGCUCAAGCUCAAGUGACCCUCAAGGACAAUAUCUUCAACUGGCCUUGACAAUAAAAAAUAGAGUUAAUUUUGUCCACCUGUAUGGUCUUAAACACCCAGCAGGAAAGUAUAACCAAAAAUAAAUAAAUAAAUAAAAUGACUGGUGUAUUUCUUGAACAGUUUAAGGGACCAUACUCCCUAGACAUUAGGUUUAAAGCCACAUGGGUUUAGACAACCAUUUCUCAUUAGUGAUUUUCUUCUUGAUAAGAAAAAUGCUGCCUAGAUAUAAAAUGUCAAUGCCUUGGCUCAACUCAGCACUGCAUCAUCUAUCUCCAACCAAGAGAGAUAAUCCCCAUAGUUUUAAUUAUCAUUUUAUGCUUAGGUUAAAUUGAUUUUCUUUCUCCCUCUUUAGAAGCCAUGUGAACCAAGCUCAUCCCAACAGCUGCCAAAGUGUCUGAAAGUAGAUCCUGGGUCCACCCUUCCCCAUCCCAGCCUUGGAUCUGCUGCUGCUAUGUGAAACGUUUCUGAAAACAGUGACCUAUUUUGUUUGUAAUGCAGUGGCCUCUAGUAUUCUCCUCUCUACUCCUUCAGCCCUUCCACUUCUACAGAUGGCCCUUUACGUGGAGCCUCAGAUACGUACAGCCUGUCUAAAGAAGCCGGGUUCCAGAAGCCUGCCUUGUGGGAGUUCCCUGCCUCUUGGACUGACACUCCCCUGGACUCCGCCCCCUCACAGCAUGAAGCAGCUAGAGCGGUCAUCGUCCCCUUUCCUGACAAUAAUUGGUGUCAAUCUCUGAAGUGGGGAAGGAAGGCAGGUUAGAUGGACAUAGGUAGACUAGGAAAGUGAGAGCAGACUUCCUGACACAAGGCUUCUUAUUCUCAGAAGACACUGUGAGACAGGGUAUGAAAGCUGAAACUAUAGAGGAAGGGAGGACAAAGGGGCCCUAUAAAAUACCUACGCCAGAAGCCUUUUAGAGAAAUUCUAGCCUUUGCUAUCACCUAUCCUCUAGGAAUAAAGCUGUUACUUUUACUGUC